rnacentral:rRNA from 1 species
GACAUGACUCUCGGCAAUGGAUAUCUCGGCUCUCGCAUCGAUGAAGAGCGCAGCGAAAUGCGAUAUGUGGUGCGAAUUGCAGAAUCCCGCGAACCAUCGAGUCUUUGAACGCAAGUUGCGCCCGAGGCCUAACAGCCAAGGGCACGCCUGCCUGGGCGUCAAGC